AUGUGCCACUUUACCGGCUUUUGAUUUUGAAACGUACAGAGAUGGCAUACUCUGUACAUUAGACAUGAAAGAAAACAGGAAAGCAAGCAGUCACUGGGUGUCACCUCUCCUCUCACCUCACUUGCCCUGGGUACCAGGCUCUCCCCUGAUCUGGGGACCAAGAUCAGUGAGGUGAAAGACAGGAAGUUAAGUAGCUGUUUUGAGAUCCCAGAGGGCAGCCCUCUCAUUGGGAACCUGCAGGAGUGGUUCUCGGACUCAUUCAGAGAUAGACCCUUAAGGCUUGGUGAUGCUUUGGGUUCAGUGUGCUAAAGCAAGAGUUUUGGUACUCGGUUGGCAGGGUAUGAGGGGCGCUGCAGUAUUCGUAGAAACCUGAUUUGCAGACUCCUCAUGCCAGCCAAGGAGGUGGGCUCAAGCCUGCAGACAGAGAACCACUGAGGGAUGUCAGGCAGGGGCAUGGCGUGUCAGGGCUUGUGCUUAGGAAGUGAACUGCCGGCUAGAUUCAAUAUAGACAGAGACCGGGGACCAAGGGAUGAAUUAAAAUACUUGUGGCUCUUGUCCAGCAAGGAAAAGAUGCUGAAUGGAUCCAGUAGAAAGGGUAAGAGAGACUAUGUGAGCAGCUUUCUGUUUUAGAAGGUGACGUGGGCAGGAUCCUAAUGGAGACAUCCCACAGGCUGGUGGCUCUGCCUGAAGUCCUGAGAAGAGACCUAUCUAAAGUCAUCCGUUGGGAAAUCUUUGGCUUGGCCAUAGAAGUAGAAACUGGUUUGGAAAAGAAUAUUGGGGGUGGGGGUGUCACUCUUAGUACUGAGGGAAAGGAGGAAGUUACCUGUGUCUGGUCCCUAAAAAACCACAAAUGGGGCAGUGGGACGGGACCAAGGAGCCCAAGAUGGAGUAUUAACGUAGUGAUAAUGUCUCCCCCUGAUAAGACAAGCUCCAGGACUAAGAGGAAUCUACUGAAUUCAGUGACAAGGAGCUGGUGUGGAUCAGAGGAGUGCCAUUCUGGAGGGGUAAGGGGUCAAUGAAAGAUACAGGAGUUUUCAUAAGCUGGGACUUGAGGAGGGCGGGUGAGGCUGCAGCAGCAUUGCCUCUGACUAUGAAAACUCCCCAGCCAUCCAUUGCUCUGUGUGUGCGUGUGCGUGUGCGUGUGUGUGUGUGUGUGUGUGUUUACUGGUCGUGUUUGUGUGCAUGUGACACUGAAUAUUUGGAGGUAAGUCAGCAGCUUUCAGGAACUGAUUCUCUUUCUCCACCAUGAGUUCUAGGGAUAGAGCUUGAGUAAUCAAACUCAGGCAACAAGGGAUUUACUCCCUUCACUGGCCUGCAUUGCUUCUGGACACCAGUGUUUAGAUACACUGAAAGUUAUUUAUCCGUUAAGAUGGGAUUUAUAGAAACAACCCCAAAAGUCUUAGUAGGCACAUGUGUAAAUUCAAGUGCAUACAUAUGCGCCUGCUAAAAGCCCAAGACUAAUGUCAGAUGUCUCCAUUGUUGCUCUUCACCCUGCAUUUUGAGGCAGGGUCGCUCACUGAGUCCCUCCCAAGCUUGCCCUUCCUGCUAAUUUGGAUAGCCAUCUUGCUCCAGGAUUCCCUGUCCUCCUGAUCCUGUUGCCUGGGACUGCAGGUAGUCUCCUCACCCACAUGGCACUGGCGUGGCUUCUCUAUAUCUAGAUAGCAAACGCUCUACCCACUGAGCCAUCUCUCCAGCCACCAUUUCUGUAAGUUUGGGAUGCUGUCACACUGCCUCUCAGGAGGGGCGCGUGGAGUCAUGGCGUCAUGUGUACUGCCUGUGGUCAGUCCCACCACUUUCCAGCCAACACUGGAUUUUGCCUCAUUAAAUUAUUUUCCCCAACAUAACUAGCAAACGUUGGCUUCUAGUGUAGAAUUAUAAAUUUUUGUUACCAACAGGCAUGUCUUAUUUUUAGGUUCUGGCCAGUCAGAUCAGGGAUCUUCUAUUGGACUGAAGGUUUUAGCACUGAAAGGAAAAUAACUUGUCAUUCCAUCUGAGCAUGGCUGUGGGGCUGACUGCUCUGGCCCUUGCCUGGGAUGUUUAAUUAAUCUCUCUGGAUCUGUGUUUUAAUUAAGAAUCUGCUGUGGUUCUUUCCCAUGAUUUCCUACUGAUUCCGGGCUCAUGGGUUCUCUUCUCUAUUUGUUUCUCCCAGCCUGCAUCUGGCUCCAGGUGAACACUGGAAGAUGAUUGGCUAAAAUACACUCAGCGUGCUGCUUUUGUUGUUCUGGCUCUGUUCAUUUUGAGACAGUGUCUCAGUGUAACCCAGACUGGCAUCAAACUCACCAUGUAGCUGAGGACGACCCUAGACUUCCGUUCCUUCUGCCUCUGCCUUAGAGUGCUGGGACUACAGAUUCGAGCCACCAAGCAAGCUUUUGUGGGGACUUUUCAUUUAUCUGUUUGUGUUUUACAUGUAGCCCAGGCUGGCCAAAAACUAAUUUUCUGCCUCAGUCCCCUGUGUAUUGGGAUUUUAGGUAUGAGCCUGUCCACUAAGUUUUGACUGAAACGCCUUUGCUAUGACUAGAAAGACACUGCCUACAGAACUUAGGUUGGAAGGCACUGUGCCCAUUAACUGGUUUUAAAAUAUAAAACCAGUUGUGGUGACUCAGGUCUGCAAUCCCAGUAUGCAGGAGGCCGAGACAAGAUUGCCACAAGUUUGAGAGACAUAGGCAAGACUCUCAAAAGAACAGACCAAGACAAACAAAACCCAAACACUUGAGAACACUGAGGCAGGAGGAUCAGGAAUUUGAGAUCGGCCUCUGCUGUGUAACCAGAUGUUAUAUAAAAAGGAAAAAUCAGAAGAAAAGGAGAGAGAAGAGGGGCUUACAGAAAUAAGUAAGCUGGACAGAGCACAGACCUGCAGUCCCAGGCCUCAGGAGGCAGAGGCAUGAGGCGUGCACGUGUGAUGAGGCUGACAUCAGCCUUUGUAAAACUCAAAAGACAUUCUGAUAAUUCUAAGGAAGAAAGUCUGCAGCCCCUGCAGCCCCUGCAGCCCCUGCCUCCACGGCUUCCCUGUGUUCCGCCAACUCCUCCUUCAGGCCUCGGUGUAAAUGCUUCCUCCCCCGGGGACCACUGUCAUUGGAUGCCCCCACCACCACUGGUCACCCUUUAUAGUUCAGGCAUGAUAACAGGUCCAUGUUUCACCAGAACAAUGACCUUAUGUUCUGAUAAUUACUGUAUUCCUCACAUACAACCCAGAGGCCAGCAGGUCGUGGAACUCAAUACAUGUUGACUCUCAUGUAAACCUAUACAAUUAUUUUUAGCAUUUUGGUCUGUUUCCUCCUGGGCCUUUUCUGAGUCUAUGUGUGGAGGUAUUUUUCUUAGAGUAAGGUGAGUUUUGUACUUGUGUUUUCUUUUCUGUUCUUGUUAAGUCAGCCUGUGUGAGCAAUGGUAUGAGCAGUGGUGUGAGCAAGCAAUGGUGGGAGCAGUGGUGGGAACAAUGGUGGGAGCAGUGAUGGGAGCAGGCAAUGGUAGGGGCAGUGGUGAAAGCAAGCAGUGGUGGGAGUGAGCAAUGGUGGGAGCUAGCAGUGGUGGGAGCAGUGGUGUGAAUGAGCAAUGGUGGGAGCAAUGGUGUGAAUGAGCAAUGGUGGGUCUAGGUUAAGAAGGCAGAGUGGGACCGGAAGACGAAAGAAUGCACCAAGUCAGUUUUUCAAAAGUUGUCAGUGGCCAAGUGUCUUAGUGCUCUGUUACUGUGAAGAAAUCCUAUUAUCGUGGCAACUCUUAUAAAGAAAAUCAUUUAAUUGGGCUAGCUUACAACUUCAGAGAUUUAAUUUAUUAUGGUGGGGAGCACAGCAACAUGCAGGCCGACGUGGUGCUGGAAAAGCAAGUAGCUGAGAGUUCUAUAUCCAGACCCAGCAGUAGGAAGAGAGGAAUUCUGGGUUAAGAAAGGGCUUUUGAAACCUGAAAACCUACCCCCAGAGACAGGCUUCCUCCAACAAGGCCACACCUCCUAAUCUUUUCGAAUAGCGCUGUUCCCUAAACAUUUACAUAUGUGGGCCUACUAUAGGUUUCAUUCAAACCAUCACACCAAGAGAAAUGGGUCACUUAGUAAAACACUUGCUUUGCAAACUUGAGGACCAGGGUUUGACCCCCACAACUCACAUAAAAAGUUAGAUGCUUGUAAUCUCAGCCGUGAUGAGAUGGAACAUGGAGAUACAAGAAUCCCUGGAGUUCUCUGACCAAAUAGCCUACUCUAUUCCAGGCAAUGAAGGCACUCUGCCUCAAACAAAAAAGUGCAAAAUCUUCCGGAGGAAAGGCACUCAAGGUUUUCCUCUGAUUACAUGCAAGGGUGAGAGGCCCCACCCCCACCCCCCCCACACACACUUUUUUUUUUUGGUUUGUGUGGCGCUGUAAAUAAACCCAGAGCCCUGUGCGUGUCAGACAGCUCCGUAGCCACUGGACUACAUUCCCACCUAUUAACCCUCUAUUUGCAAAUAGCUUGAGGUGGUAAAUCAGCCUUCCCAAGGGUCUUCAUCUAGCCUAGGGCUUCUAACACUGGGUCCUCAUUUACAUAGCUCAGGCUAGCUCUGGAAUCCCUGGCCUGCUGAGGGGUGCCGGCUUUAAGAAGCAGUUCUGGGAUUUAAUCCAUGUACACAAAGCAUCGUUCACUUCCUCUCUGCUGUUUGCCAGCUUUGUUCUGUUGAACAUAAAAUCAAUGGGUGCUCCCACUUUUUAAUCAGAGGGGUGAAAGUUCACAUAUCGAUUACUGAGGGCAAAGGCCAAACAUUCCAUCCCCAAUGAAGCAAAUCUUACAUUCAAGCGUCCGUCACCGUAGGUCUGGCCUUUUGCAAGGAUAUUAAGAAACCCUCUUGAAUUCCUAUCUGACCUCCUGGGAAAUAGCAGCACACGAGGAGAAAUUCCAGGGGCCUAUCAGGAACAACGACACACAGUAGGAACUGCCAAAACCAAGAGCAGUCACGCAGAGGGGCAUUGCACUGAAAGGGGUGCAGUUGAUUGAUUGUAUCCUCAAACCUGUUUACACUCACGGAGUGGGAGUCUGUGAUGCGCCUCGGCUCUGCUUUGAGAGGAGUUAUUUCUGUUAUUAGAAAUCAGCCAUACUGUGUGAUCCAUAGGACAGGGAGAGCAUGCAUGAGUCUCGUUUAAUCACAUGCAGUUUCCUGGGAGGUGGUUUGAAUUUUUAAAGAACUGCUCUUCAUUGAUAGAGAUUCUGCGGCUGGCUGAUUACCAAUGGAGCCGCCCCGAGCUUUGCCUAAUGAUUUUAAAACGCACAUUUGCAUGUGUACUUACAAACGGCUGAGAUGGUGAAGUGUAUAAUAUGUGUUUUAACUAUAAUUUUAAAACCCCACACAUUCGCGGUGAUUCAUGAUUGUGCCUCUCCAGAUGAAAGGGAAGCAUUUAUUAAAACUCUCUUCAUUAGAUUUUAAAACUGAAUAAAAUUGUUGCGUUGAUUUAAAUCAUAAAGGAAUCUAUAAAAUUUAGAGUAAACAUUUUAUUUCAAACCUACCCCAGCAGGCACCCACUGCUACUAUUUUGUUGGGUAAUAGUUUUGGCUCUUUUUUAAUUAUUCUUUUCUUUAUGACAAGGUCUAGUGUCACUCAGGAUGACCUUGAGUUUGUUGGGUAGCCAAGGAUGACCUUGAAUUGUGAGUCUCCUGCUUCCCUCUCCCAGGUGCUGGGAGCCGCAACACCUGGCUUAUGCAGUGUUGGGAACCAGACCAGAGCUUCCAGCUUGCCGGACGGUCUACCAACAGAGCUCUCAGAGCCCGAGAUCUCAGACCUUUGUUAAUAAUAGCAUGCAUGUGAACACUUGUAGGUUAAAAAAAGAAGAAGAAAGAGACCACAAAACAGAGGUUGAAACGCCAAAGCGACCCAAGAGACGGGAUGAGCAAUGCACACACAGAAAAUGGAGUGUUACUCAGCUUUAAAAUAGAACGUAAUUCCAAUAUGUGCGACAAGGUAGAUAAGCUUCAAAACAUUAUGCUCAGUCAGUUAAGCUAUGUGUAAAAAAGACAAAGGCUGCAGGCUUCUGCUUACAUGGAGGAGGACAGAAUGACUGUACAGGGAGUAGACAUUGGCUUGAUGAGAACGCCUUGGGAGUGAGUUGUGCUGUGCAAUACUGAGAACGCACUGAUUUGUUUCUUCACCAAGGUACCUCAGUGUGCAGGAACUUACGGUGCGAGCCCGAAGACAUGCGUUCCGACUCCAAAACCCACAUCAAGGUGAAGAGAACCAACUCUGCUAGGUUGUCCUCUGAUCUCACCUGCACACUGUGGCAUGCAUGCCUCCCAUGCAACACACACACACACACACAUCGAUGAUCAGUUAGUCCAUAGAGAUGAACUCUCCCAGGUCGACUGACCAUAAACCUACUGCCUUAGUUUCUCUGGAUUUUAAAAGCUAUUCGGAAACAACUUUUGGUAAAACAAAACACGUUUAUUUAGUUUGCCAGCCUGUAGAGGACGGCUCCUGCUUUCUCUCUGACUCGCCUGCAACAUUGUGAUGGUUUUACAGAAAAGGUGACAGAAGCCAGGAGCUGGGCAUGCGUUACUGUAAUGGGGACAAGCUGUCAGGGCUGUGUCCCAUCUGUUCUUGUGAAGCUCAUUCAUCCUCUGGCUGUCCCUGGAACCAGGGCUAAUUAGUCCCUGUCUUUCCCCCAGCAUAGAUGCCUGGAGCAGUAGUGAUUCUUAGGAUCCAUUGUAUCAGCCCCCUCCCCCUUGAAUAUUCUGGUAGCAAGGGGGAGGGACAUAGUAUUCCCCAUUAGAAUAGCUCAUCAGGACCUAAGCAGAGGUUCAUGGUUAUAGCAAACUGCUUCCCCAGCAUAUGAGGAGGGCCUGGGCUUGGUCCACAGCACUAAGAAAUAGUAGAGACACCUACUGGACUUGUUGUUGUUGUUGUUAAAAAUCUGGCUAGUUACUGUUUAUAAGAAACAUCCCAGGGCUGGCGAGAUGGCUCAGUGGGUAAGAGCACUGACUGCUCUUCCAAAGGUCCUGAGUUCAAAUCCCAGCAACCACAUGGUGGCUCACAACCAUCCGUAAUGAGAUCUGACGCCCUCUUCUGGUGUGUCUGAAGACAGCUACAGUGUACUUACAUAUAAUAAAUAAAUAAAUCUUAAAAAAAAAAAAAAAAGAAACAUCCCAGGGCAGGAAUGUUUAAAUGUAAGAUUAGAAAGAAAGAAAGAAAGAAAGAAAGAAAGAAAGAAAGAAAGAAAGAAAGAAAGAAAGAAAGAAACUCCAGGUCAUACCAUGAAUGAGAAUUGUGUGCCUGGCGCCAGGUAUGGUGAAACUCUAUUAGAAUCUGAACCCUGUAGACCCAUUGUUUUUUUUUUUUUGUUUUGUUUUGUUUUGUUUAAAAAAAAAAAAAAAGCUACAUAUACCGGAAGGAACCAGGUCUGAUGCUGCCUGACACCAGAGGCACCACACACAAGAAGCCAUACUCUAAAAAAACCUGUCCCUUUUGAGUUUCCUCAGCCUCAAGAGCAUCUGGAAGACAAGGUCAUUCCACCUGCACCUUCAAAAUUCUCUUCAGACAAUCAAAAGGAUGCCAGAACUUCUUAGAUGCAGAACCUGAAGAGUCUCACGUCUGAGCUCAACAGAUAAAAUAGUGAGGUUGGCUGUGUACUGUAGGACUGACGGCCCCAGGGGGAGCCUGCCUGAUGGUCAGAGAGAUGCUUUCCUGUGCUUUCCAGAAUGGCAGCAGGUCAGACCGACUCCUUCGAGUUGAGAGAUUGCAGCCACUUCCUAUCCAGGGAAUCCAGCCCCUCCUCCCCUUCCCAGGCGGUCGGUAGACUCUUCAUGGAAAGAUCCAUGCUCCCUGAUUACAGGAAACAGUUAUAGGAUAAUGGAGCAGCAUCCCCCAGCUCUCCAAAACGGUUCCAGGGACCAGUGUCAGGCUCAGAGAUCGGAACAUGGUGGAAAAUGAGACCUAAAAUGAGACCCAAGGGCUACAAAAUUAGCAUAUGAGAAAAACCUAGUAAAGAGGGAAGCUGGAACUGCCUUCUCUUGCAUCUGGCUGGAGCCACUGGCACAGCUGCAGAGGCACUCCAGAGUGUCUGCGGGUGACCUGCCACAUGGCCUGCAGGAGAAAGGCAGUGCUAGGCACGUGACCUCAGAGGCUUCCGUAUGGGACAUAAGUAACCCUGUCCUUUGCCGAGUGCUAGUGCCAAGCUUCCGAACAUUUCUCUGUUUGGGGUGCUUCCUCCCUGGGAGCUAUCUUCUUUCUUAAUAUAUUCUUCAACCUUAUUUUCUUCUGUUCACGUGUCUCUGUCCAAUUCCCUGUUGCAGAUACAGAAACCCAGACCCCUAGUGGGCACCCACGGAAACGCAGCAUCCGUAGGAUCAGCACUGGUCAACAGCCAAGAUAUCCCUGCUUCCGGUUGAGAACGCCAAUCCUGUGUCGAGGCUGGACCCUGGCAGAGACUAUAGAGACACACACUGAUGACGAUUAACUCCGUGGGGAAUGCAGAGGCUCACUUCUUUAUUUUUAAACUGCAGGUGAAGCUUUAGGGUAACAGUGGGUGUGAGCAUGCGUCGGUUGAACGCCUCUCAGAUCCAGCCCAUCAAUUUACCAACUCAUCAGAUUACUCAUGCGUGCAUUCCCUGACCAAGUGAUGUCAUCUCUGAGACUUUACUCUUCCCGCACACGUGAACAACUGAAAUACGCUAAGCUUAUCUUCUAUGUCUGUGGACACUCCAGUAGCCAUCCAAACACAAUCAGGUUUAAUUAAAUGGUGACGGUGAAUGUAUGCAGUAACCAUCCAGACCUGGAGGUCCACCCACCAACGGCCAGUCCUCAUGUGAGCCAUGGGUGGUCAGAUAAUCCAUAGUGCCUAUCUCUCACCAUUAAUCCUGAGCCCCAGGCAGUGUGGCAUUGAUGCUGGUGACAGCAUCGGCCAGUGAGAAAGAAGAGGAGGACACAGGGACAGCUGCUGUCCUGUCCAGUAGCACAUUUGCAGAGGCCAAGGGACGACUAGUGAGAAUUGGUUCUCUCUACUCAUAAGAUUCUGGGGCUCCAAGCCAAAUCGUCAGGGAUGGUGGCCCAUGCCUUUCCGGAUGAAUCAUCUCUCCAGCCAGUGAUGGUGAACUUGAUGGUUGACCUUGAUGGUCAACUUGAUUGCAUCUGGAACCAUCUAAUAGACAGACAUGCCUCAGGGCAGGUUGUUUGUUCUGAGAAGACUUAACAGAAGUCUGCACCUUGGGCCAGUGGAUCUCCUGGAAUCCUCCAGCCCUUCAGCACCAGAUUGGACCUACUAAGGCAUCCAGCCCUGUGAACUGAGCAGCUGCUGCCUUCCCAGCCUCUGCGUGGCGAAAGCCAAGCGUGGUUGGCCCACUCCGUCCGUCUAGGAAGCCACUCUGAUCAGUUUUCUUGUGUAGUAUGUAUUCUUUCAAUUGGUUCUGUUCCUCUAGUGAGCUCUACGGAAAUGUGGUCAGCCACGGGGAAGAGGAAGAAGCAAGAAAAACCUCCAUCCGUAAGCAACGAGGUGGCCACCCAGCCAUGGUGUAGGUAGAGAUCUGAUGGAAAGGGUUAUGAAAAUUAAGACUAGACGAAUACCGGUCAAAUACAUUGAACCAGUAGUCAACACUGCCCCCACCCCCAUGUAUAGACGGGGGAGUAGGUUGUGUCACGGGCAAAUUAUCCAAGAAAAAGAUAAUUCUUUUAUAGUGCAAAUUGUCCCAGAGAAAAGGAAAACACUGGGCUGGGAGCAGCCAAAGAAAAGGAGUGUCCGAUGUUUUUCUUUGUGCAAAAUAAAUAAAUAAAGUUAUAAUAAGUUAUAACAUUAGUAUAUUAAAUCU